CCUACUGGUAGGUUAUUGGUUUAACACUUUAAACAAAAACGUUUUUUCAUCCACCAAAUGCCGACUAAUAAAAUUAGCUCACCCCCUUACACCUAUCUUACUACUCCUAGACUGGAACCUAUUUUUGAGCAGCCUUGCCGAAGUCCCAUAUUAGAGACUGCUUGGGUCAAAUAGGUUGUAUACUCCCUUUAAUCCAGAGGCUCCUGAGAAUUCUAGGAUGAUUAAUUCAGCAUUUGUCAGCCAGGCCCAAGGUGAUAUUAAAAGGAAAUUACAAAAAUUAGAGGGAUUUGUAGGGAUGUCCAUAUUACAGCUAAUGGAGAUUGCAAAUACAGUAUAUAUGAAUAGG